rnacentral:lncRNA from 1 species
UUAAAAUAAAAAUAUUAAUAAAAUAUUAAAAUAAAAACCUUAAUUAAACCCUAAUCAAAAUCUAGUCAAAUUUUAGUGAAAUUUUAGUCAAACCUUGGUCAAAACUUUGUCAAAUCCUAGUUAAUCUCUAAAUAAGUCCUAACCAAAUCCUAAACAAAUCCUAGUCAAAUCUUAAUCAAAUCCUAAUCAAAUUCUAAAUAAUUUCUAAUCAAAUCCUAAUCAAAUCCUAAAAAAAUCCUAAAUAAGCCAUAACCAAAUUCUAGACAAACCUUAGUCAAACCUUAAUAAAAUUCUAAUCAAAUUCUAAACAAUCUUUAAUCAAAUCUUAAUGAAAUCUUAAAUAAAUCUUAAUCAAAUCCUAAUCAAAUCCUAGACAAAUCUUAAAUAAGCCCUAACCAAAUCCUAGAAAAAUCUUAUUCAAAUCCUAGUCAAGUCCUAAAUAAGCCUUAAUCAAAUCCUUAAAAAAUCCUAACCAAAUUCUAAUCAAACUCUAAAUAAAUCCUAGUCAAAUCCUAAAUAAAUCCUAGUCAAAUCCUAAAGAAGCCUUAACUAAUCCUAAAUAAAUCUAACCAAACUUUAAAUAAAUCCUAGUCAAAUCCUAAAGAAACCUUAAUCAAUCCUAAAUAAAUCCUAAAAAAAUCCUAAAAAAAUCCUAAUCAAAUCUACAUCAAAUCCUAAAUAAAUCUUAGUCAAACUCUAGACAAAUCCUAAAUAAGUCCUAAUUAAAUCCUAAACAAAUUCUAAACAAAUUCUAAAUAAAUCUUAACCAAAUCUUAACCUAAAUCAAAUCCUAAUCCUAACCAAAUCUUAAAUCAAAUCCAAAAUCCUAAUCCUAAUCUUAACCAAAUCCUAACCCUAAUCAAACCUUAUAUCAAUCCAAAAUCCUAACCCUAAUUCUAAAUCAAACUCUAAACCAAAUCCUAAUCAAUCUCAAAUAAUUCCUAUAGCAGAUUUAAACUUCAAUAAUUAAUGAAUUAACCAUUGAUUUUAACUCAAAUUUUAAAUAUUUUUUAAAAACUAAGUUGACAAAAACUAAAAAAAAAUUAAAAAAGAUCGAAAAUACCAAAAAGAAAAUAUUCUCAAAAAUAUACUUGGGUGUAGAGUGGCCUCCUUUUUCAACCUUGAUGCCAAUCUUCCAGAGCCAAGUACUCUUGAUUGAACCAUUAUUUUUCUUCCAAACUUUACAUACUUAUUAGAAAUAAAGUUGACUACUUUUAUAAAAAAAAAUUGCUUCAAUCUAAGUAGUAGAUUGACAUAUAUCUAAGAAAACCUCAUUAGUCCUCAAAAUCCUAAAUUUUGAGAUCAUAACCUAAAAAAACCUUCAUACUUUUCAAUCUAACUAUUUGAUCAAAUCCAAAUUUACUACACACAUCAAGCGCAACUACAUCCACAAAUCCAAAAAAAAUUCAUGGGUAGAUCUACUACCAAACUUACAAAAUUCUCCAAAAAGUAUCAUCUAUUUUAUUUCACAAAUCUAGAGUCACUCAAAACAAAUCCUAACUUUACAAAGCUCUUACAAAGUCAAUAUACACUCAAAUCACUCAAAAUCAAUGCUUAAAGAAAUCUUAUUAGGUUUCUCCUAAACUCUACUUUCCAAUCUCCAAAAGAAUCCUAGAAUCAUUGUCAAGGCUUGGUUUUGUGCCUUG